AAUAUGGAAGAAACACCCUCGUAUAAUAAUGGGAAUAUGGCCCAUAAGUCUCUACCCGAUGACCGUAAAUUAUCGGACUAUGAGGGAAAGGAAUA
rnacentral:ncRNA from 1 species